AGCCUGCCCACUGAUUGAAAUUUAAAGGGCCGCGGUAUACUGACCGUGCGAAGGUAGCAUAAUCAUUAGUCUUUUAAUUGAAGGCUUGUAUGAAUGGUUGGACAAAAAGUAAGCUGUCUCAGUUAUAAUAAUUGAAUUUAACUUUUAAGUGAAAAGGCUUAAAUGGAUUAAGGGGACGAUAAGACCCUAUAAAGCUUGACAAUAAGUUGAUUAUAUUAUAAAUUGUUAGUAUAACUUGAUUUUAAUUGACGUUUGUUACGUUGGGGCGACGAGAAUAUAAUGAGUAACUGUUCUUAAAUGUUUAUUGACAAAUAUAAUUGGUAUUUGACUGAUCCUUUAUUAAAGAUUAAAAGAUUAAGUUACUUUAGGGAUAACAGCGUAAUCUUCUUUGAGAGUUCAUAUCGACAAGAAGGUUUGCGACCUCGAUGUUGAAUUAAGGUAUCCUUAUGAUGCAGCAGUUAUAAAGG
rnacentral:rRNA from 1 species